AUACUUACCUGGCAGGAGAGACACCAUGAUCAUGAAGGUGGUUUUCCCAGGGUGAGGCUCAUCCAUUGCACUCCGGGUGUGCUGACCCCUGCGAUUUCCCCAAAUGCGGGAAACUCGACUGCAUAAUUUGCAGUAAAA
rnacentral:snRNA from 1 species